rnacentral:rRNA from 1 species
UUAUUUUAGCGGCGGACGGGUGAGUAACGUGUGGGCAACCUACCUUUUACUGUGGAAUAAUCGUUGGAAACGACGACUAAUACCGCAUACGAUUUUCUGAAGGCAUCUUUGGGAAAGGAAAGGAAAUAUUCGGUAAAAGAUGGGCCCGCAUCUGAUUAGCUAGUUGGUGAGAUAAUAGCCCACCAAGGCAACGAUCAGUAGCCGACCUGAGAGGGUGGCCGGCCACAUUGGGACUGAGACACGGCCCAAACUCCUACGGAAGGCAGCAG